CCCUCCCUGACCCCUCCAAGUUAAAUUCCUCCCCCGAGAUCCUACCAAUCUUUGUGGUACUACUUAUGUGUGGCUCUGCUUCCUCCCUGGCCUAGGAAGUCCUUGAGGAGAGAGUCCCUGCCUGAUUCACCUCCAAGAUCCCAGCACCCAGCCCAGGGACUGGCACUCAGUAUACAUCAAGAAAUGUCUGUGGAAUGAACAAGGGACUCUACAGAAUGGAUCCAAUGGUGAUAGGAACCAUCGUGGUGAUCUCCCUUCCUGCACUGUCUCCAACAAAAGGAGGCCACUGAAUGCCAAGCAGAAGAGAGCCCUCAGUGCAGUGAAUGUCUCUGGGCCCAGCAUCACCUCUUCUCUGCUAAUUUCUGGUUUCAGUUCAGCUGCAGUGGACAGUUCAGGGAUGCUUCCUCUGGAAACCGGGAAGUGCCAUUUCUGCAUUGCUCCCAGCUAGGGCUUCUGGGAGGACCCAGGAGGUCCAUGCUGUAGCUGCUUGGUGCCUUCUGCUGUGCCUCCCAGGGCCCAUCUGCUCAGAUACUGUGCUCGAUUGCUGGAAGAGGCACAUCCAGACUGUGAACCUCCAACCAAACUCUGAAUUUUCCCUCAUCAGUAUCCCACAUGGCGUAAACUUUCCACACCCUUACCAAGGAAGUCAUGAUCUGAGCCCAUGUCUCAGGAGUCCAGCAGCAAGUGUUUUCUCAACAAAUGAUUAUGGCGGCCUUUAUUCUGUAUGUAAUUCAUCAGGGAUCAGCGUGUGGCUAGGGUUGAGGCUCAGUGUGUGACCAGGCUCAGUGUGUGACCAGGGUCUGUAACUAGGAUCAGGGUUCAGUGUGUGACCAGUCAGAGCUUGGACUGUGGCCAGGGUUGGGGCUUAAUGCAUAACCAGAGUAGGGGCUCAGUGUGCUUAGAGGCCAGGGCUUAGUGUGUGCCCAGGGUGGGGGCCCAGUCUGAGAUCAUGAUCAAAGUUCAGCCUGCAGCUGCUGUCAGAAGCGAAUGUUUUCAGAGGAUGGAUUUCCCUUUAGAGCCAGAUUACAGGGACUUGGGGACGCCUGCUGGAGCAGGGUAAAGUAAUCCUUAAGAGAACAGCUGUGGAGCAACACAGGCUGGUUUAGAUCCUGGCUUGUACUGCCAACUCCCACCAUGGGCAACGGGCAACGUCGUGAGUUGCUAAACCUUGGGUUGCUCACCUGUAAGUGAGGAUAAGGAUAUGCAUUUGUCUUAGUUCAUUUUGUACUGCUGUGAGAUUGGGCAAUGUAUAAUAAACAAAUAUAUUAGCUCACAGUUCUGGAGGUUGAGAAAUCCAAGAAUAAGGGGCCUUCUUGCUGUGACAUCCAUGGCAGAAGGUGAGAGAGUGAGAGAAAAAAAUAAAAAGGAGGCCCACCUUGUCCUUUUAUAAGCAACCCACUCCUUCAGUGAAGAACCUGCUCCUGUGAUGGAGGCCUUAAUCCAAGCAAGAAGGUGGAGCCUGGGGCCUAAUCACCUGGCAUGGGGCCCCACCCCCCAGCACUGUUGCUGUGGGGAUUAAUUUAAUCUAACACAGGCUUUCGGGGUACAUUUUUGUACAUACCUCCUAGAAUGAGAAGGCAUGAGAAAGCAAAAAGCACCUGGCUCCAAGGGUGGCAUUUCGUGGGUGCUCAGGAAGUGCCAGCCCCUGCUACAUAACACAAUCGUCAGCACACUGGAGGCCCUGGAUCUGGCCUCUUUACACUGGCCCCUGCACCACCCUUCUGCUUCCAGUGAGGGCCAGAGGGUCAAAGGGAGCAUCAGCGGCUUUCCAUAUCAAGGGAACAGUCCUGGGGAACUUAGCUGUAGGCAAGAAGGCCUGGGGGGAGGGGGGCGGGGCCCCAAGUUCUUUGGGGCAGGAGUCUCUCCCCUUUGAGGACAGCCAGCUUUUCUCAAAUGCCUCCAGAACUCUGCCUGCUGCUGCCCACACUUCCUAGUGGGCACAUGAGCUCUGCAGACCCUGUCUCUUCAGUCCCCAGAUUUGGUGUGAGGACCCCAGUCUCCUAGAUGAAAGCUUGCAGGGCUCCUUCCUCUGCCCUGGCUUAAGUGCCCCUGGCAGCCCCGCCCUGAGCCCCUCCACCCCAAGACUCCAGGAUUCUUCUAUUCUUUUUGGCUUCCUCUUUUCUUUCUUCUGUUUGGAGACACACACACACACACACACACACACACACACACACUUUUUUUUUUUAAGAGGACAGAAUUCCAACCACCAAUCAGCCCUCCCUGUCCCCAUCCACAAAACUGAUCAUCAUCUGUUCUCCACUUUCCCAGAGGAGAAAUGAAAACAAAUGGCUGAAAUUGUAACAGGCAUGACGGGAAUGGGAAAGGUCGUGUUGGCAAGGGAGAGCUGUGGGUGGCAGGAGUGGGCAGGGAAAGGGGUUGUUCCAGCAGGUCCCUGGUCACUAAUCUCAAAUGGUAUAGGGGCUGUCCUGUCAGAAACAAAGGAUGAGCUCAAUCAACUAGGACUCCCUCUUCCUGUCUGAGAACCUCCAUCUCAUCAGAGAAGUUUCAUGGAUCUAAGCCAGACUACUGGGGACACAUCUCAGCCCUGAAUCUCCCAGGCUGAGUGACCUUAGGCAAGUUCCUUAACUUCUCUGUGCUUCAGUUUGCAUAUCUGUAAAACAAGCUGUUGCGAGGAUAAAAGGAACACUGGACGACCUGGCACCUGGCUUAUAUAAUUUCUGGCUAUUAUUAUCAAUGGGAGUGAACCCCAAACAUUUCUAACAGUUUUCUCCUAUCAGUAAAAACAUGUAAGCAC